GUCCUGUAUUAUUAUGUUGUCAUUUUAAUGUUAUAUUUAACAAUGCCAUCAAAGUGAGAGGUUUGGCAUGCCACAAAACCAGGUUCAACCCACCAUUUUUUUCUUUAAAAAUGUCCUGUACCAAGUCAGGAAAAUGGCCAUUGUUAUAUCAUAGUUCGUUUCUGUGUGUGUAACAUUUUUACGUUGUGUUUCCGUUGUGUCGUUUGUUUUCUCCUAUUUUUGAGUGCGAAUUCACAUUACUAUAAGACGUGUCACGGUACUUUUCUAUCCCAAAAUCAUGUAUUUGGUUUUGAUGUUAUAUUGGUUACUCAUCGGAUGUUGUCUAAUGCUUAGUCCGUUGCUGUGUGUGUUACAUUUUAAUGUUGUGUCGUUGUUCCCCUCUAAUAUUUAAUGCGUUUCCCUCAGUUUUAGUUUGUUACCCCGAUUUUGUUUUGUUGUCCAUAGAUUUAUGAGUUUUGAACAGCGGUAUACUACUGUUGCCUUUAUUUAUAUAGAGGAAUACACCUUAUUGAAAAAAUGGUUUAAAGGCAUGUGAUACAUCUAGACCGAAUUCUUCUGUCCCUAUAAUGCAUAUAUUUCCUAAUUUACAUUUGCUUUUUAUUGAUUUUGCUAUUUUUUUUUUUUUUU
rnacentral:lncRNA from 1 species